GUGCUAAUGAUUAUUGAUAAGUAGUACUUUUAUAGUUCUCUUAGAUAUAUUGCUUGCAAUUAUCUAGUUGAUUAAUUAUUGCAGUUGUGUUCACUCUUCAGAGUCACUGAAACCAAAUUGAGUUGGUAAUCUGUUUGUUGGCCUGACAAGUAACAUAAGUGAGUAUUUAUAAGUCAUUUUAUUCAACAAGUUCAAUAUAUCUAUUGCGAAGUAUUGUGCAAAGUAUGGAAAUUCGUAAAUAAUACUGGCAAAAUUGUGCCAAUAUUAUUUAGAUCACCUAACUUCACUUACGACCGAAAGAAAGCGUUGAUGAUUAUAUUCUUGCCAAGAUUCAUAUAUUUUUGCUGAUUGUAUACUAGCUUUUAGAAUAUGAAUUGAUAUUGAUUUUAAAUUAUAUUUAAUAAUUGGGAUUUCAUUUAAAAUGAUAGUAUAAAUUUGAUUGGGGUGACUGAAAAUUUUCGAUAUUUAUGACUAUUUAAAUUUGGAAGGUUAAUUUUGAAUAUUUAGAAAUUAUUUCAAGAAUUUACUCCGAUAGUCCUAUGUAAAAUGUGUCAGUUCCGUUUUGCAUAUAUUAAGACUUAUGUCAAAUGUAAUUAUAAAAGAGUUUUUGUAUUAUUAUAUUUUGGUAGUUAAUUUUUAUAGCUAACAAAUUUCAAAAAUAUAUAUUAUUUACACAUACAUCUUCAGAACAUAUUAAAAUAACUAGUAAGCUGCUCCAGAGCUCUUCAUCCCAAACAUGACGACGACUAGGAAAGAGGAAAAAAAAAUUCCAGUUCACAUUUCGAACCUGCUGGACAAGUAAGUUUUCUUUUAAUUUUCAAACAUGGAUUAACUUCUUAUUCAUUCAUUUACUUUUGUAAUGUAAUUGGAUCAAAUUUCUUGUAUAUAAUCCCAUGUGAAGCAAACACAUGAAUUUAGCUCUAUACAUUUCAGGCCUGGUUCUCAUUUCUAUGUAUACAACUUGGAUAGUUUUAUGAUUAAUAUGCUCGAUAUAAUACCAUGAUCUGAUAUUGCGUUUGUUGGAUGUUUAAUAAAUGUUAUCCAAACUAAUUGCCUCUAGUUGGUAAUGAUGUAAUUCGAUUUUCAUAGGUUGUUUUUGAUAUCAAUAAUCAAAUUUUUUAGAUAUGUGCAACAGAUCACUGUGAAUAUAUACGUAACAGGUCAGUGUGAAGUGUAAUAAGUAUGAGUGAAGUAUAUUUGAAUUUAUAACUCAAAUCCAAUGAUUUUAAUUGCUAAUUUGAGAAUGGAAUGGUACUGUUUAUGUCAAGUGUUCAUUUUCUUCUUAUUUGUGUACAACUUUAAUAACAUGUCAGAAUGCUAUUUAGUAUUAUUCCACCAGUCCAGGAGUAAUUCCUUUUCCUUAAAAUUUUCGAUAACUUCCCGGGGGCGUAGAAGGCUUAUUAAUAUAUAGAUUUUGUUAAGUAUCAACUCAAUAGAAGUAGUCCGGUGUUAAGUAAAUUCCUUGUCAUCAUGUACAUACGGGGUUGUUCCAAAUUGUGCAACAUAGGACUAAAAAGAACUUUUUCUUUGAGCUAAUUACCUUCACGCACAAGGUUCUCUUAUUUGCCAGAAGAAAAUAAUAAGAGUUCCUUGAUGAAAAAUUCCCAUGUCAUAAUCGAUUGCUCCGCUCGUAAGGUUUGAAACCAAAUGUUCAAUCACACUACAACGUUGCAUAUAUAGGUUAGUAAGUUGAGCCCAAAUAAUGUCGGUAUUAAUUAUGACACCCACAAGCGAAACACUAAUCAGGUUACGGAAACCUUCAUAUUUCGGGGGUGGUGUAGGCAUACAGUGACUUAGAUCAGAUGAGUCAAUUCUGAACAUGAAAACAAAUAAGAUGGUAUUUUGUAGGCACUGGAUGUACGAUUAUGAAGUUUCACUUCCUUAACUCCACUGUUUGAUAUGUUUUUAAUCCAAAUAUCUAUAUCUGAAUAGAGAUGAAGAGGCAGAUCAUUAGGAUUGCAAAGAAUAAACUUCAAUAUGAGACCUCCACGAGAUAAAAGAAUACUGCUUCCGGUUAUUGAAAAUUCAUAUAGUUUAGUUUCUCUACUUCUGAAAGGAAACCUUUGAGAAAGCCGGUUGAAGAAGAGGUCAUCAAAAACUAGGUGUGAGUGCAUUUCCCAUUUACCCCUCCAUGUUUUUAAGAGAAUGCUCAUUCUUGCUACACAGUCAACCGGCAAUCACUUUUGAAUUAGGUCUAGUGAGUCACUGGGAAUGUCACUUUUGAAUUAGACCUUCUUCUAAAGUGAUUGCCGGUUGACUGUGUAGACAUUCUCUCAAAAACAUGGAGGGGUAAAUGAGAAAUGCACCAACACCUAGUUUUUGAUGACCUUUUCUUCAACCGGCUUUCUCAGAGGUUUCCUUCCAGAAGUAGAGAAACUAAACUAUAUGAAUUCUCAAGAACCGUCAGCAGUAGUCUUUUAUUUCGUAGUGGUCUAAUAUUGAAGUUUGUUCUUUGCAUUCCUCAUGAUUUGUUUCUUCAUCUCUAUUUAGAUAUAGAUAUUUGGAUGAAAAACAUAACAAACAAUGGAGUUAGGGAAGUGCAACUUCAUAAUCGUACAUUGAGUGCAUACAAAAUACCAUCUUAUUUGUUUUCCUGUUCAGAGUUGACUCAUUUGAUUCUAAGUUGUUGUAUGUUCACACAACCCCGGAAAUUUGAAGACUUCCGUAAUCUGAUUACUGUUUUGCUUGUGGGUGUCAUAAUUACAACUGACAUAACAUUUGGGGCUCAACUUACUGACCUACAUUUGCAACGUUGCAUUGGGAUUGAACAUUUGGGAUGUCAAUAUAAAUAUUAUAUCAAUCUCACUUUUCUGAGUAUCACCCAUUGUGGGGAAAUUGAUGGGCAAUGGUUUGGAUGCACCCGAAAGGUGAUUGAUUCUGUUCUCAUGUUAUAUGGAGCGGCAAAGAGCAUUGUGGAUUUGGAAGAGCUAGUUGACAAUAUGCCUAGAAUCCGUACUCUUCAUCUUGAUGGCUCUUUUCUUAAGGUAAUUAAAGUGAACCUCGUAAUCUCUCGUAAUGAGACUGGUGAGAUCUAAUUCCCGAAAUUCUGUUUUUGUUAUAGUUUUUUCUACUGGGUAUGAAAGACUUGCGGUCCUCUCUGUAAGUGAUAAUCACAUUCCACCCACUCUGGCUUAGAUUCUGCCUUGUUUUUCUUUCACUUAUUCUCCAGCUAUAUUUGUUCCUACUUUCUCUUUAUUAAUCACGUCAUAACAAUGUCCUCAUAUUAUCUGUAAUAGCAUUGUAUUGUAUUGUAUUUGAGUCCUGAUCUCUUUUUGUCGCAAGAGUUAAUGAGGUUCCCCCGAGCAUCCACAACUGCAGAGAUUAUAUGGAAGUAACUAGCCGUAUUGGUAGGUUCGUUUUGGAAGUUAAUGUUGAACCAUAUGAACUCCUUGGGAUUGUUUAUUUUGUGGUUGCAGAAUCAGAGACCCUUUUUGUUGCUCUUGAACGCGAGAUCUUUUUCUGGGUUUAUUAACUUCAAUUUCAAUGACAGCAAAGUUUUUGGUUUAUUUAUUUAUUUAUUUGUUCUGGGUUUUUCUUAAGUUUUUGGUUUAGAUGGCUUUCAUGUUUAGAGUCCCGUAAACUGUAGGCCACAUGUAGUUCUCUAUUUGACAAUCAUAUUUUUGGCGUUACAAGCAUCAGGUCCUUAAGUAACAGGAAGUUCUUAUCUAAAAGCUGAACAUUUUAUAUAUAGACACAAAAUUACACAAAUAUACGGAGAAAACACUCAUUUGAUCUAAAAUAAAUACAAAUAUUAUAAGAUAAAAAAAAUACUAUAUAUACAAUUUGAUAAUAUAGGUGUAACAUAAAUUAUUAUAUACAAUCUCGAGGUUGCGAAGUAGUUAUAACUAAUAUCACUUCUACAUUUUUCCCGAGUCAAAGAAAUACCGUAAGGGAGGUAUCUACUUUCCGCCUGUAUUUUAAAAUAUUUAAUGUAUAUUUAUAAAUUUUAAUCUUCAACUUUUUUUAGAUAAUAUAUUAAUUUAAUAUUUCAAACAAAUAAUGAGAUUUUAACAUAUUUUGCCUACCGGAUCAAACAGUACUUCAAAUAUCUCUAAUUUAUUAGAAACCUUUUUGAUAAAUUUUUACAAAACAAUUUAAAAACUUAUGUUUUUAAAUAAUAAGAUAAGAUAUAAUCAUUAAAAAAAUAUUAUAUAUUCAUUAUUUAGCAGUAAGUAUCUGAAAAUAAAUUUAGCUAAAUCAUGAGUGACAUAUUUUUUUUCUUUUUUCAACGCAAACUCUAAUAAAAAUCGUUAAAACCCUAGCCCAAAAAAAAAAACAAUUAAAUACGAUUUAAUAAAAACUCCUUAAAACCUUAGCCCAACGCAUCUAUGCUAUACUAUUAAAGCCGAAACAUUAAAAGUUUGGUCAGUCGGUACGCGGGCUUUUAUACGGGCUUUUAUAAUUAGCAGGCUUCAAACAAAAUUAGUGGGCUUCAAACAAAAUAUAAACAAAUCAAAAUAUAAAACAAAUAUACGAUCAAAACAUAAAACAAAUAUAAAACCUAUUUGACUAUACCACAACUAAAAUCAAACCUUAAAAAAUAUUAUAUUAUUACAGCCGAAGCAUUAAAAACUGUGUUGAACCUCGGUUACAAAUGUGUUGAAUGCACGAUUUAUUUACACGUUAUUUUUAAAACUUUGAUGUUUUUUCAAUAAUUUUCAAUAUGGGCCUAUCUAUAUACCGAUUAUUCUUUUUAACUAAAAUAUGUUAUUUUUUUUAUAUUUUCUAAUUAAAAAAACUCUAUUAUUUAAAAUAACAUCGAAAAACAUAGUAAUUAUCUUUUUAACUAUAACACAUUAUCAUUUUUAUAUAUUCUGACUAAAAAACAGAUACAAUUAACACGGGCUACAUAUAUCAUAAUUUUAUUCUCACAAUAAUAAUAGUUUACUAUACUAUUAAAGCCGAAACAUUAAAAAUUUGAUCGGUCGGUAGUUGGGCCAAAUUAUGGGCUUACUUAUAUAAUCAAUUAUCUUUUUAACUAAAUCUAUUAUCUUUUUUUGUAUUUUCUAACUAACAAAACUCAAUUUCCAAAAAUAAUAUUGGACAACAUAGCAACUAGUCAACUACCCUUUUUAACUAAAAAAUGUUAAUUUUUCAGAAUCCUAACUUAAAAAUCGAUUUUCCAAAAAUAACACAUGAAACAUUCAUAUAAAAAAGAUAUUAUAUAUCUAGAGAAGUGUUCUGGUACAAACUUACAAAUGUUUUUUGUUCAACACAUACAUAUAACUCGAGUUCAACAUUUUUUAAGAUAUUUUGUUGAACAUUGAUUUAAAUUGUGUUGAAGUAGUACAUAAACUAAUUUCUCAAUGUAAGAACUAAGUUAAACGUAUUAUAUAACCAAUAUUUAUCUUUCUAGACUCUACCCAAACCCCAGAGAUAUAGUUUAACCAUCUUUAUAAAUAUAUUCAACACAAUGAUAAUUAAUGUUCUACACCCAAUGGUGAACCUCGGUUACAAAUGUGUUGAAUGCACGAUUUAUUUACACGUUAUUUUUAAAAACUGUGAUGUUUUUUCAAUAAUUUUCAAUAUGGAUACUUUCGAUAACUAAAUAUUAACACGUUUGGAGAAUAAAAACAUUCAAAAAAAAAAGUUUGUAACUUAAAAAAUAUUUUAUUUGAUCAUAUUCUAUAUAUCUAUAUUAUUAUACUAUUAAAUCCGAAACAUUGAAAGUUUGGUCGGUCAGUACUUGGUCAAAAUACGGGCCUAUCUAUAUACCAAUUAUUCUUUUUAAUUAAAACUAGCUUAUAGCCCGUGCAAGGCACGGGAGCUUUUUAAUUAUUUAUAAACCUUUUAAAUACAUUUUAAAUGGUGUGAAAAAAUUUAAUUUAUAAAUAAUAAAUUAAAAUUGUAUGUAUCAUGCCAAAGUAUUAAAUUAUUAUCAAUUUUUAAAUUAUUUUAAGUAAAAUAUGUGACGCCAACUCUUAUUAGAUUAUAUUUAUAAAUGUCUUUUUAUAUUAGAAUUAUUAUGUGAUUAAAAUAUUUUUUAAAAAAUUUUUAUGGUUCGAGAUUAAAAUUGAUAAACACAGUUUGUUUUGAAUUAAGACGAUGAAUCAUAAACAUGUAAUAAGAUUGUAGAAUUUGUUUUGGAUUAAGAAAAUUUUUUUGUAUUCGUUCCUCACAUAAAUCGGGCUUAUUAAUUUUAGAAUAUAUUAGAUAAAAAUAAUUUUGUGACGACGCGAUUUAUAUGAUUCUACAAAUAAAAUUGGUAGAAAAUAUUUAUUUUCGAUUAAAAAAAAUCAUAAACAGGUGAAAUAUAGAAUUUGUUUUGGAUUCAGAAAAGGAAUUAUAAACAUGGAAUUAUAAACAUGCAAGUAGAUAUCAAUUGUCUUAUGGAACGGAAGUUAAUUUUAUUCUAAUCUAACGGUGCUUAUUUGUUCAAUAUACGAUCCGAUGGAUAAAUCUAAUUUUGUGACGGUGCGAUUUAUACGAUUCUACAAUUAAAAUUUGUAGGAAAUAUUUUUUUUGUAUUAAAAAAAACCAAAAACACAUGAAAGACGGAAUUUGUUUUGGAUUCAGAAAAGGAAUUAUAAACAUGCAAGUAGAUGUCAGUUUCCUUAUAGAACAAAAUUUAAUUUUGUUCUAAUCUAACGAUGCUUAUUUGUUCAAUAUACGAUCCAACGGAUGAUAAGCUUUUGGACCAUAAGACCAUGCGACCAAAUUAUCUCCCUUACGCUUAUUAUAUAUAAGUAUAUAAUAUGUUAUCUUUUUUUAUAUUUUCUAACUAAAAAAACUCCAUCAUUUAAAAUUAUAUGGAGAAACAUAGUAAUUACCUUUUUAACUAAAACACAUUAUCUUUUUUAUAUUUUCUAACUAAAAAACAGAUUUUCUACAAUUAACAUGAGCUACAUAUAUAAAAAUAUAAUAUUAUUAUAUAUAAUUAUUAAUAACUAACCUGUGAUAUUUUUCAACCAAAAUACAUUAACAUUAUUUUUAAAUACACUAAUGGACUCAAUUUAAAAAUAAUAUUAUAAAUCUAUAAUAUACUAUUAUACUGUUAAAUUCGAAACAUGAAAAGUUCAGUUAGUCAGUAGGUCUGUCGAAUUUGGUGAGCCAUGUGGUAUACGACCCACAACGUCUUUAUUUAUAACAUGUUGUAAUAUAUUUUUUAUUAUCAAUUAAAUUACCAAAACAUUUAAGUUAGUAUGAUGGGUCGGUAUUUAGUUUUACGCGUCUUUUUUAACUUAAUAUGUUCCAUACUAUAUUAUAAAGGGGUUUUCUCAUAAAUACCUAAGUCCAAAAUUAUUUUUGCAAAAUUACUACAUUUUUUGGAAAAAUUAUCAAAUUUUUGAAAAUAUUUGCAAAAAUACUGUAUGCAACCUGUUGCCACCACAUGCAACGAUACUUGCAACCAGAUGCAACCAUAUUUGCAACUCCUGGAGGCCAAUUAACUAAAGUUGCACCUGUUUGCAUCUAGCUUCAGACCGUAUUUUUGCAAAUAUUUUCUAAAAAGUUAGUGUUUUUAUAAUUUUCUUAAAAUAUAGUAAAAUCGCAAAAAAAUUUAGAAAAUGUAAUAUUUUUAAUAAAUUCUCUAUUAUUAAUUAUCAAUAACGAAAUAUUAAAAGAUUGAUUGGUUUAUUUAUAUCUGAUUUUAUAGAUCUCUCUAAAUUAUAACAUGAAAAACAAAUGUAUUUUAACAUUCUCUGUAAAAUAUAUAUGUUCGACCUAAUUUUUUAUUAGCCAUUUGACGAAAUUAACUAUUAAGAAUUUAUCAUUUGUUAAAUAUAAAAUUUAUUUAAUCAUAUUAUUCUAUCAUAAUUUUACUCUCAAAAUAAUAUUAGUUUAAGUUAAAAUAUAUACGAUAAAAUUACAAAUAUUAUAACCGCCCGUGCAUUGCACGGGUUAUAAGCUAGUGUAAGUUGUGAAUUAAAUAAUUAAUGUCGUCUCUAAUAAAAUUACUUAAAACUCUAGCCCAAGCCCAUGUAAGCUAUGAAUUAAAUAAUUAAAAGUGCUCUAAUAAAACUCCUUAAAACUCUAACUCAAACUCAUAUAAGCUAUGAAUUAGACAAUUAAACGCGCAUGGCCCAAGCCCAUGUAAUCCGUUCUAAUAAAACUCUUUAAAAUCCUAACCCAAACCCAUAUAAGCUAUAAGCUAUAAAUUAAAUAAUUUAAAGCGCUCUAAUAAAACUCCUUAAAACCCUAGCCCAAGCCCACAUAAGCUUUGAAUUUAAAUAUUAAACGGGGCUACUACAUUUCAAUUCAAACUUGUGAUUUACGCCAUUUUCUCAAAUGCCUGCGGCGGCUACUAUUCUGUAUUUCUGUAUAGUAAACCCUUUUUCUUGAUUAAAAAUCAACCCAUGACGAAGAAGCCUGUGUGGUAAUCUCAUUCUGUUAGUUAUACAUGCAUCAUUUUGUUUUUUACACACACAUAGAGUGAUGAUUUGCUAAAAAGAUUGAAUUUUUCAGGUGGAUGCAUUCACAGAAUCAGCGUUCAAGGGAAACCCAACUGCAGUUCAAUUGGUGGCCACUGAGUUCAAUCUAUCUGAGAGACAUGUUUCUUCACUAGGAUUGACUUGGAUUCGUCUUCACCUCAGAUGGUUCACUCCUGUUGCCGAGGUUCACUUGCUUUUGAUUCUUGUCUUAUUUUUUAGGUUUUUAUGAUUCCCCCGGUGUUGAAUUUUGGACUUGUGUAUUGGGUUUGUGUAAAGAUUUGAUCUUUUUGGUGGUAGUGGUCUUGAAUUGAAUUUGUUUAUUGGUCUUGUGUAGUGGGUUUGUGUAAAGAUUUGAUCUUUUUGGUGUAGCAGUCUUGAAUUUGAUUGGGGCAAAACAAAGUUAAUUUGGACAUUCAAGGGGAAGUAAUAACGAAGAUGUAUGAUAUGCAUGUCAAACCCCUUUGUUGCCAAGGUUCAGUUACUAUUGAGUCUUGUUCAUCGUUUUAGUUUUUCUGAUGCACACACUGGUUUCAUAUUUGAUCCAUUUGGAGCUUGUUCAUUAAUCAUCGCUAUUCUACUUUGUGACGUAGUAUUUUGUGAAUUCAGGCAUCAACUAGAGGUGGCAUCAUAAAAUUACAUUUAGAUGAGAGGAAUCAAAGGGUAAUGCUCCAAAGGAAAGUUGUUAUUGUGAUGGAAGGUUCUCUCCUAGUUUAUAUAUGGAGGUAUUCCUAGAAUCUUGAGAUCAUUAUAUUGUAUCUGUAGCAGUUUACUUAACAAGUUUUUUUACCAUUUACUGCAUAUAUUUUUUGAUGAACAUUGAACACUACUUUCUUAAAUGUGUUGUUGAUAUGCGUUUCGUGCUAAUGAUUAUUGAUAAGUAGUACUUUUAUAGUUCUCUUCGAUAGAUUGCUUGCAAUUAUCUAGUUGAUUAAUUAAUGCAGCGUAUUCAUGUACAGAGUUUGUUAAGUAUCAACUCAGUGGAGGUAGUUAGGUGUUAAAGUAAAUUCCUUGUCAUCAUGUACAUACGUGGUUGUUCAAAUUGUGCAAGAUAGGACUUAAAAGAACUUUUUCUUUGAGCUAAUUACCUGCACCCACAAUGUUCCCUUAAUUGCCAGAAGAAAAACAUAAUAAGAGUUGCUCGAUGAAAAAUUCCCAUGUUAUAACCGAUUGCUUUGCUCGUAAGGUUUGAAACCAAAUGUUCUAUCCUAGUGCAAUGUUGCAUAUAUAGGUCAGUAAGUUGAGCCCCAAAUAAUAUAUGUCAGUAUUAAUUAUGACACCCACAAGCGAAACACUAAUCAGAUUACGGAAACCUUUAUAUUCCGGGGGUGGUGUGGGCAUACCGUGACUAGACUCUGAUGACUCAACUCUGAACAUGAAAACAAAUAAGAUGGUAUUUUGUAGGCACUGGAUGUACGAUUAUGAAGUUCCAGUUCCCUAACUCCAGUGUUUGAUAUGUUUUUAACCCAAAUAUCUAUAUCUGAAUAGAGAUGUAGAGGCAGAUCAUUAGGAAUGCAAAGAAUAAACUCUAAUAUGAGACCAUUACGAGAUAAAAUAAUACUGCUGACGGUUCUUGAAAAUUCAUAUAGUUUAGUUUCUCUACUUCUGAAAGAAAACCUCUGAGAAAGCCGGUUGAAGAAAAGGUCAUCAAAAACUAGGUGUGUGCGCAUUUCCCAUUUACCCCUCCAUCUUUUGAGAGUAUGCUCAUUCUUGUUACACAGUCAACUGGUAAUCGCUUUUGAAUAAGGUCUAGUAAGUCGCUAGGCAUGUCACUGAUAAUAUCAACCGCGUCUUAACAAUCAAGCCGUCUUGUGUUAGCAAUACUAGUCAUAUUUCUGAAUAUUAGAAGAAGUAAGAACCAAACUGAAAAGAUGUACAAACAAUAAUACUAUAAUAUAAAUAUAAUUAAGUAUAUUUGUAGUGGCCAACCGGGUAGUAGCAAUUAAUCAAAUUUAUCGUAGCACAGAAUUUAAAGAACAUUAUAUCCAUAAGAGCCAUAUAUGUAAAUAAUUCAACUAAACCAUUAUCACAUUUGGAAAAAAGUGGCAAAUCAUUUUCGUAUAUAUUAGCGAAAGUUUAACAGUUAAUUAAAACCCCUAAAUCAAAGAUAGAAAAAGAUUAUGUGAGAUCAACAUACAUAAAAACAUUGAUUUAUUCAAAAAGUUGAUUCACACACACACACACAAACAUAUAUUUAAACAUUUAUAUAUUUGAUUCAUGUAUUGGUGGGAGUGAGACAUUAUGAGUGCGGUGGAAUGAGGAAAGAAAUGUGAGGAUUAGUGAUACAACCCUAAUUCUUAAUUAUGUAAUCUAUAUAACGAUGUCGUGUAAUAAGUUGACUGCAAGAUAUUUGCAUAUGCUAAAAAACCGUAUCGUGUGGAACAGAACAUUCUAAAAUGGCUAAACACAACACCGUUUAAGGAUAAUAUUUACAAAUCAAUUCUUUUUUUUUAUUUAUUUCCAUUUUAGGGGCAGUAUGCUGAUACUUGUGUACAGGGAAACAACUAUCAACAUAUGUAGACAUUCCCCUGCCUAAAUAACAACCCUCCUCCAAAAUGGAAAUAAAUAUAAAAAGAAAUGAUUUGUAGAUAUUAUCCUUAAACGAUGUCGUGUUUAGCCAUUCUAGAAUGUUCUUUUUCAUAUGAUGCCGUUUUCUAGCAUAUGCAAAUAUUUUGCAGUCAAAUUAUUACACGACGUCGUUAUAGAGAUUACAUAAUUAAGAAUUAGGGUUGUAUCGCUAAUUCUCACAUUCUUUCUCACUCCGCCGCGCUCAUGUUGUCUCACUCCCAGCAAAGGUAUCAAAUGUUUAUAUAUAUUUAUGUGUGUGUGUGUGUAUUUGAAUCAUUGUUUUUUUUGAAUAUAUCAAUGUCUUUAUGUAUGUUGAUAUCUCACAUAAUAUUUUUUUCCAUUUUUGCUUUAAGGGUUUUAAUUAAUUGUUGAACUUUCGCUAAUAUAUAUGAAAAUGGUUUUGGCACUUUUUUCCAUAUGUGAUAAUGGUUUAGUUGAAUUGUUUACAUACUCGGCUGUGAUGCAUAAAUGUUCAUUAAAUUCAGUACUAUGAUAAGUUUGAUUAAUUGUUACUACCCAGUUGGUCUUUAUAUAUUGUAGCAUUACUGUUUGUAAAAUUCUUUUCAGUUUGGUUCCUACUUCUUUUAAGUAUUCAGAGAUAUGCCCAGUGAUGCUAACACAAGGCGGCUUGAUUGUGGAGACGCAGUUGAUAUUAUCAGUGACCUGCCCAGUGACUUAUUAGACCUUAUUCUAAACCGAUUGCCGGUUGACUGUGUAGCAAGAAUGUGCAUUCUCUAAAAAUCAUGGAGGGGUAAACGGGAAAUGCACCCACACUUAUUUUUUGAUGACCUUCUCUCCAACUGGCUUUCUCGGAGGUUUCCUUCCAGAAGUAGAGAAACUAAACUAUAUAAAUUUUCAAGAACUUUUAUCAGUAUUCUUUUAUCUUGUAGUGGUCUCAUAUUGAAGUUUGUUCUUUGCAUUCCUAAUGAUUUGUUUCUUCAUCUCUAUUCAAAUAUAGAUAUUUGAAUUAAAAACGUAAGAAACAAUGGAGUUAGGGAAGUGCAACUUCAUAAUCGUACAUUGAGUGCCUACAAAAUACCAUCUUAUUUGUUUUCCGGUUCAGAGUUGACUUGUUUAAUUCUAAGUUACUGUAUGCUCACACCACCCCCUAAAAUUGGAGGCUUCCAUAAUUUGAUUAUUGUUUCACUUGUGGGUGUCAUAAUUACUAUUGCCAUAUCAUUUGGGGCUCAACUUAUGGACCUACAUUUACAACGUUCUCAGAUAUUAUUGCGGGAGAAGAUGAUCAUCACCUACCACCUUACAAUCCAAAACAUUAGAUUGCGCAUCGUUUAUCCUCUUUUUCUUCUUAACCAUCUAGUGUUUUAAGACCUAAACGCUAUUUCCUGUAGAUUUUUUCAGGUGGAUGCAUUCACAGAAUCAGCGUUCAAGGGAAACCCAGCUGCAGUUUGUUUGUUAGAAGAGGAAAAAGGUGAGAAAUGGCUACAAUUGGUGGCCACUGAGUUCAAUCUCUCUGAGACAUGUUUCUUGACUAGGAUUGACUUGGAUUCGCCUAAUCCCAGGUUUCAGCUCAGAUGAUUCACUCCUGUUGCUGAGGUUCACUUGCUCUUGAUUCUUGUCUGUGUUUUUUGGGGUUUUAUGAUUCCCCGGGUGUCAAAUUCUGGUCUUGGGUAUUGGGUUUGUGUAAAGAUUUGAUUUUUUUGGUGGUAGCGGUCUUGAAUUGAAUUUGUGUAUUGGGGUUGCUUAAAGAUUUGAUCUCUUUGGUGUUAGCAGUCUUGAAUUUAACAUGGGGCAAAAUAAAGUUGAUUUAGACAUUCAAGCGGACGUAAUAACAAAUAAGUAUGAUAUGCAUAUUAAAUCCCUUUGUUACUGAGGUUCAGUUACUAUUGAGUCUUGUCCAUCUUUUUGGUUUUUGUGAUUCCCCGGAUGUCUAAUUUUGAUCUCGUUAGUAGCUCAUUUAUCUGUGUAUUGGGUUGACGUAAAGAUUUGAUCUUUUUGGUGUUACUGGUCUUGAAUAUGAAUUCGGGCAAAAUAAAGUGUUUUAAAAAAGUUAGUUUGGAGUUUGGACACUCAAGCUGAAUAUUCCCGCAAAGAUGGCUUUUCGAGUAAAUUAAGUAUGAUAUACAUAUUAAACCGCUUUAGUAAUAAUUUAAAAUUCUAGUGGAUUUGGUAACUUAAUAGAUAUUAUGUACUUUCAAUAUGUUAUUGCUUUGCUUAUGGAAUAGGUAAAGCAUGAAUAACCACGUCUUUUCUUAAUUAUGCCAUAUCACUGCUACUUUGUCAGUUGUCAUUUUACUUGAAUGUUGAAUAAAACAUGCAUAAUUAGACUAUGUUUUAUUGGAUAGCCACAGGUGGUGGUUGCUUUAUCUUCCCAUCUGAAACGGGUCUAAGCAAUCAUAUGUGUGAUAGCUAAAACUGAUGAAGAUAGUGGCUUUCUCUAUAUUAAAUUUACCAAUUGCUGGAAAAGUCAUUCGUAGCCGGCUUUUUAUAGUUUACGAAGACUUGCUAGUUUUCAUCUCUAUGCAUGAUGUCUGCUUACAGGUUAAACUUUGUGGCCAUGCAACUUUGGCGGCAUCCCACUUCAUCUUCUCAUCUGGUUUGGUGAAAGUUAAUGUGAUCGAGUUCAUGACACUGUCUGGAGUUUUGACUGCUAGGAGGGUUUCACUGCCUGAAGUUUCUGUAUUAUCACAGUUGAAAAGUGAUGGUUUCUGUAUAGAGUUGGAUUUUCCUGUCGUGCCACUGGUUGAAUAUACUUCUGUUGAGGUGUCAAACAUUUCACAAAGUUUAAAUGGCGCCUCUAUUGUUGACAUCAAGAAAAGGACUACAGAAGAUGACCUCCUUGUAUGUGUUUGGCUUUGCUCUAACAUUUUGUUAAUAUCAUUACCAUGUGGAUACAUUCUUUCUGGAAGUUGUUUAUGAUGGGGCUAACAUAUCUAAACAGUGAAAUGUUAUAUACUAGUGCCAUUGUUUCUUGCUUUGGAAAAGUUAAUAUUUUGUAUUUGAGGAAUGUAAAAGUCAUCUAAAAAUGCAGGUUAUGCUCUCAUCUGGAAAGACUGUUGCAGAAUUACAGCCGAUGUUUGAAAAGAUACAGAAACUUCCUUGCAGAGGAAUGACAGUAACAGCGCUUGCUCCCUCUGAAUCUGGGUUUGACAUAUACAGCCGCUUCUUUUGUCUUAAAUAUGGGAUUAAGGAGGUAAACAUUAAGCUAAAUAUCAGGAUUCAUUUAUAAUUUUCGAAACAUUUGGAGUUUUCUCAUAGUCUUGCUACACUUGGUAUGUGGUAGUCUCUUCAUAACCUGUCUACCUUCCGGAUACAUUCUUGUCUUUCUUUUCCUAUGUGUAGAAUUCGGAUAUUCCAUUUGGCCUCCACCCGCCUUUCAUUAUAGUUCAUUUGCUAGAUUAUUUGUAUAAUGUUGAAUCCAAAACUAAAUUUAAAUUGUCUAUCCUUAGCCUCCUUGCUUCUUAUUGUCUGUGGAUAUACAGGCACGUGCUGUUUUAAGGGUGAAAUUUAGUUGAAUCCGGGUUUUCGAUAGAGGUGCUAGUUUUUAUGUCCUGUCUUCCCCUAUAGACUAUAGUUACAUGCACCAGGUCAAUAACUAAAGAAAGAGCUUAUCUAAAAGUUGAACAUCUGUCCUGAGUGCUGGGACUUGAUACAAUCGGUAACCUCUUUAAUGCGUGCAAUUUUAUUUCAGGAUCCUGUCACAGGCAUUGCACGUUGUGCCUUGGCACCCUUUGGUGCCAAAAGCUGGGAAAAAGUGAUCUUGUUGCAUAUCAGGUUAUUGUUCUUAGUGCUCACUGCUCACUCUCUGCCUAACUCUAUCAAAUGUGUAUGCACACACUGAUUUCAUAUUUGAUCCAUUUGGAGCUUGUUCAUUAAACUCACUAUUCAACUUUGUGAUGUAGUAUUUCGUGAAUUCAGGCAUCAACAAGAGGUGGCUUCAUAAGAUUUCAUCUAGAUGAGAGGAAUCAAAGGGUAAUGCUCCAAGGGAAAGCUGUUACUGUGAUGGAAGGUUCUCUCCUAGUUUAAAUAUGGAGGUAUUCCUAGAAUGCCUAAAAUGAACUGGGAGCUAUUCAUAAUUAAAACAUCAGAAUCUUGAGAUCAUUAUAUUGUGUCUGUAACAGUUUACUUAACAAGUUUUUAUAGCUAUUUCUUGAUGAACACUAUCUUCUUAAAUGUGUUGUUGAUAUGUGUUUCGUGCUAAUGAUUAUUGAUAAGUAGUACUUUUAUAGUUCUCUUAGAUAGAUUGCUUGCAAUUAUCUAGUUGAUUAAUUAUUGCAGUUGUGUUCACUCUUCAGAGUCACUGAAACUAAAUUGAGUUGGUAAUCUGUUUGUUGGCCUGACAAGUAACAUAAGUGAGUAUUUAUGAGUCAUUUUAUUCAACAUGUUCAAUAUAUCUAUUGCGAAGUAUUGUGCAAAGUAUGGAAAAUCGUAAAUAAUACUGGCAAAAUUGUGCCAAUAUUAUUCAGAUCACUUAACUUCACUUAUUACCGAAAGAAAGCCGUUGAUGAUUAUAUUCUUGCCAAGAUUCAUAUAUUUUUGCUGAUUGUAUACUAGUUUUUAGAAUAUGAAUUGAUAUUGAAUUGAUAUUAUAUUUAAUAAUUGGCAUUUCAUUUAAAAUGAUAGUAUAAUUUUGAUUUUGAAUUUGGAAGGUUAAUUUUGAAUAUUUAGAAAUUAUUUCAAGAAUUUAGUCCGAUAGUCCUAUGUAAUAUGUGUCAGUUCCUUUUUGUAUGUAUUAAGACUUAUGUCAAAUGUAAUUAUAAAAGAGUUUUUGUAUUAUUAUAUGUUGGUAGUUAAUUUUUGGGAUAUUUUUAAAAAUACCCAUCUGUAAAAUUAUUUUUUUAAAAAUACUACCAUCUUUUUCAUUGUUUUUAAAAAUACCUUUUCAUAAAUUUUUUUUUUCAAAAAUACGAUUUGCAACCUUUGCAACCUCAUUUGCAACCUUGGGCGGCGCAGCCGUAAAAGUUGCAAAUGAGGUUGCAAAAGUUGCAAAUAAAAAUGGAAAUGAGGUUGCAAAAGUUGCAAAUGAGGUUGCAAAAGUUGCAAAUAAAAAUGGAAAGUUGCAACAGUUGCAACUGCAAUUGCAACUAGUUCAACUGAAAACUGUAAGUUGCAAAAGUUGCAAAUGAGGUUGCAAAAGUUGCAACUGAGGUUGCAAAAGUUGCAACUGCAGUUGCAAAAGUUGCAACCUCAGUUGCAACUAAAUGCAACUGAAAACUGUAAGUAACAACAGAUGUAUGGUGUGCCCCUGGCGGGGCCGGUAGAUUACAAUAGAAUCAACUGAAUGCAACCAUAUGCAACUGAAUACAACCAUAUGCAACCAUAUAUGCAAUUACAAAUCCUGAUUUCAAGUUCCAGUUUUCGAAUGUCGUUUUCGACCUCAUUUUCGGAAUCGAUAUAUAUAUAUAUAUAUAUAUAUCUGUUCUGAUAUAAAGUCACUAUUCUCGUUAAAACUGCCUUUUGGUAGUUCUGAUAUAGUGACUCAAUAACUCAAUGAUUAAAGGCAGAAUUAAAUAGAUACUCUAGAAGCAAUGUAAAACACUUUUAUAUGAACGGUUUCAGAAAAAAGAUUAUUGAAAAUUUAGAUAUAAAACUGCUUUUACUACUCCCUUUGGUCACUAUGAAUGGAAUGUAGUUCCAUUUGGACUUAAAAAUGCCCCUAGUGAAUUCCAGAAUAUCAUGAAUAAUAUAUUUAACCCCUUUAGCCAUUUCUCAAUAGUAUAUGUAGAUGAUGUUCUUAUCUAUUCUAAUUCUAUUGAAGAACAUUGGAAACAUCUGAACUCUUUUUUCAAUACAAUUAAGACUAAUGGUCUAGUACUAUCACCAACUAAAUGUGUCUUAUUUCAGACAAAAGUAAGAUUUUUAGGUCAUACCAUUCAGUAUGGGAAAAUUAGACCAAUAGAUAGAUCAAUUGAAUUUGCUAGUAAAUUCCCAGAUGAAAUACUUGACAAAACCCAACUCCAAAGAUUUCUAGGAUCACUCAACUACAUAGGAGAAUUUUAUAAAGAUCUUAGGAAGCAAUGUAAACCAUUAUUCGAACGAUUGCAAAAUAAUCCCCCGCCUUGGACUUCUAUCCAUACUUCUAUUGUCCAAGAUAUUAAAAAAUAUGUUAAGACUCUUCCCUGUCUUGGCAUUGCUAAUCCUUCUGCAUUUAAAAUAGUAGAAACCGAUGCCUCUGAAGUUGGAUUUGGAGGUAUUCUUAAACAAAAAUUAAACCCUUCUUCACAUGAAGAAAUUGUUUGUUUUCAUUCAGGAGCUUGGGAUCAAACCCAACAAAAUUAUUCAACCAUUAAAAAAGAAAUUUUAAGCCUUGUCUUAUGCAUCAAUAAAUUCCAGCAUGAACUUUUAAAUCAAAAGUUUUUAGUCAGAAUUGAUUGCCAGUCAGCAAAAUUUAUUUUAGAAAAAGAUGUUCAAAAUAUUGCAUCAAAACAGAUUUUUGCCAGAUGGCAGGCUUUAUUAAGCAUAUUUGAUUUUGAUAUACAAUACAUUAAAGGAAGUGAAAAUUCUAUUCCAGAUUUUCUAACUAGAGAAUUUCUACAAACAGGAGUGAAAGAUGAGUGUGAGAGAUAACAAUAGCCAGGUUAUUAUAUAUAUAUAUAUAUAUAUAUCGAUUCCGAAAAUGAGGUCGAAAACGACAUUCGAAAACUGGAACUUGAAAUCAGGAAUUUGGUUGCAUAUGAAGUUGCAAAAGAGGUUGCAACACGGCUGGCGCCGCCUGGAGUUGCAGAUGAGGUUGCAAAAGUUGCAAACAGUAUUUUUGAAAAAAAGAUUUUAUGAAAAGGUAUUUUUAAAAAGAAUUCUGGAAGGUAGUAUUUUUGUAAAUAAUUAAAGAAAAGGUAGGUAGUUUUGUAGAUUUCCCUUAAUUUUUAUAGCUAACAAAUUUCAAAAAUAUAUAUUAUUUGCACAUACAUCUUCAGAACAUAUUACAUAAAUAAGCUGCUCCAGAGCUCUUCAUCCCAAACAUGACGAUGACUAGGAAAGAGAAAAAAAAAUUCCAGUUCACAUUUCGAACCUGCUGGACAAGUAAGUUUUCUUUUAAUUUUCAAACAUGGAUUAACUUCUUAUUCAUUCAUUUACUUUUGUGAUGUAAUUGGAUCAAAUUUUUUGUAUAUAAUCCCAUGUGAAGCAAACACAUGAAUUUAGCUCUAUACAUUUCAGGCCUGGUUCUCAUUUCUAUGUAUACAACUUGGAUAGUUUUAUGAUUAAUAUGCUCGAUAUGAUACCAUGAUUUGAUAUUGCGUUUGUUAAGUGUUUAAUAAAUGUUAUCCAAACUAAUUGCCUCUAGUUGGUCAUGAUGUAAUUCGAUAUUCAUAAGUUGUUUUUGAUAUCAAUAAUCAAAUUUGAGUCGAUAUGUGCAAGAGAUCGCUGUGAAUAUAUGCGUAACAGGUCACUGUGAAAUGUAAUAAGUGUGAGUGAAGUAUGUUUGAAUUUAUAACUCAAAUCCAAUGAUUUUAAUUGCUAAUUUAAGAAUGGAAUGGUACUGUUUAUGUCAAGUGUUCAUUUUCUUCGUAUAUGUGUACAACUUUAAUAACAUGUCUUAAUGCUAUGAAGUAUUAUACUAUUAUUCCACCAAGUCCAAGAGUAAUUCCUUUUCCUUAGAAUUUUCAAUAGCUUCCCGGGGGCGAAGAAGGCUUAUUAAUAUACAGAUUUUGUUAAGUAUCAGCUCAAUAGAAGUAGUCAGGUGUUAAGUAAAUUCCUUGUCAUCAUGUACAUACGGGGUUGUUCCAAAUUGUGCAACAUAGGACUAAACAGAACUUUUCCUUUGAGCUAAUUACCUUCAAGCGCAAGGUUCUCUUAUUUGCCAGAAGAAAAUAAUAAGAGUUCCUCGAUGAAAAAUUCCCAUGUCAUAAUCGAUUGCUCCACUCGUAAUGUUUGAAACCAAAUGUUCAAUCACUCUACAAUGUUGCAUAUAUAGGUUAAGCUGAGCCCAAAUGAUGUCAGUAUUAAUUAUGACACCCACAAGCGAAACACUAAUCAGAUUACAGGAAACCUUCCUAUUUCGGGGGUGGUGUAGGCAUACAGUGACUUAGAUCAGAUGAGUCAAUUUUGAACAUGAAAACAAAUAAGAUGGUAUUUUGUAGGCACUGGAUGUACGAUUAUGAAGUUUCACUUCCCUAACUCCACUGUUUGAUAUGUUUUUAAUCCAAAUAUCUAUAUCUGAAUAGAGAUGAAGUGGCAGAUCAUUAGGAUUGCAAAGAAUAAACUUCAAUAUGAGACCUCCAAGAGAUAAAAGAAUACUGCUGCCGGUUAUUGAAAAUUCAUAUAGUUUAGUUUCUCUACUUCUGAAAGGAAACCUCUGAGAAAACCGGUUGAAGAAAAGGUCAUCAAAAACUAGGUGUGAGUGUAUUUCCCAUUUACCCCUUCAUGUUUUUGAGAGAAUCCUCAUUCUUGCUACACAGUCAACCGGCAAUCACUUUUGAAUUAGGUCUAGUAAGUCACUGGGCAUGUCACUUUUGAAUUAGACCUUAUACCAAAGCGAUUGCCGGUUGACUGUGUAGCGAGAAUGUACAUUCUCUCAAAAACAUGGAGGGGUAAAUGGGAAAUGCACCCACACCUAGUUUUUGAUGACCUUUUUCUUCAACCGGCUUUCUCAGAGGUUUCCUUCCAGAAGUAGAGAAACCAAACUAUAUGAAUUUUGAAGAACCGUCAGCAGUAGUCUUUUAUCUCGUAGUGGUCUCAUAUUGAAGUUUUUUCUUUGCAUUCCUCAUGAUUUGUUUCUUCAUCUCUAUUUAGAUAUAGAUAUUUGGAUUAAAAACAUAACAAACAAUGGAGUUAAGGAAGUGCAACUUCAUAAUCGUACAUUGAGUGCCCACAAAAUACCAUCGUAUUUGUUUUCCUGUUCAGAGUUGACUCGUCUGAUUCUAAGUUGUAUGCUCACACCACCCCGGAAAUUGAAGACUUCCGUAAUCUGAUUACUGUUUUGAUUGUGGGUGUCAUAAUUACAACUGACAUAUCAUUUGGGGCUCAACUUACUGACCUACAUUUGCAAAGUUGCAUUGGGAUUGAACAUUUGAGAAUGGAAAGGCAUUUGUUUAUGUCAAGUGUUCAUUUUCUUCGUAUUUGUGUACAACUUUAAUAACAUGUCUUAAUGCUAUCAAGUAUUAUACUAUUAUUCCACCAAGUACAAGAGUAAUUCCUUUUCCUUAGAAUUUUCGAUGGCUUCCCGGGGGCGUAGAAGGCUUAUUAAUAUACAUAUUUUGUUAAGUAUCAGCUCAAUAGAAGUAGUCAGGUGUUAAGUAGAUUCCUUGUCAUCAUGUACAUACGGGGUUGUUCCAAAUUGUGCAACAUAGGACUCAAAAAAACUUUUUCUUUGAGCUAAUUACCUUCACGCGCAAGGUUCUCUUAUUUGCCAGAAGAAAAUGAUAAGAGUUCCUCGAUGAAAAAUUCCCAUGUCAUAAUCGAUUGCUCCACUCGUAAGGUUUGAAACCAAAUGUUCAAUCACACUACAAAGUUGCAUAUAUAGGUUAGUAAGUUGAGCCCAAAUGAUGUCAGUAUUAAUUAUGACACCCAUAUGCGAAACACUAAUCAGAUUAUAGGAAACCUUCAUAUUUCGGGGGUGGUGUAGGCAUACAGUGACUUAGAUCAGAUGAGUCAAUUUUGAACAUGAAAACAAAUAAGAUGGUAUUUUGUAGGCACUGGAUGUACGAUUAUGAAGUUUCACUUCCCUAACUCCACUGUUUGAUAUGUUUUUAAUCCAAAUAUCUAUAUCUGAAUAGAGAUGAAGUGGCAGAUCAUUAGGAUUGCAAAGAAUAAACUUCAAUAUGAGACCUACAAGAGAUAAAAGAAUACUGCUGCCGGUUAUUGAAAAUUCAUAUAGUUUGGUUUCUCUACUUCUGAAAGGAAGCCUCUGAGAAAGCCGGUCGAAGAAAAGGUCAUCAAAAACUAGGUGUGAGUGUAUUUCCCAUUUACCCUUCAUGUUUUUGAGAGAAUGCUCAUUCUUGCUACACAGUCAACCAGCAAUCACUUUUGAAUUAGGUCUAGUAAGUCACUGGGCAUGUCACUUUUGAAUUAGACAUUAUACCAAAGCGAUUGCCGGUUGACUGUGUAGCAAGAAUGUGCAUUCUCUCAAAAACAUGGAGGGGUAAAUGGGAAAUGCACCCACACCUAGUUUUGAUGACCUUUUCUUCAACCGGCUUUCUCAGAGGUUUCCUUCCAGAAGUAGAGAAACUAAACUAUAUGAAUUUUCAAGAACCGUCAGCAUUAGUCUUUUAUCUCGUAGUGGUCUCAUAUUGAAGUUUGCUCUUUGCAUUCCUCAUGAUUUGUUUCUUCAUCUCUAUUCAGAUAUAGAUAUUUGGAUUAAAAACGUAUCAAACGGUGGAGUUAGGGAAGUGAAACUUCAUAAUCGUACAUCCAGUGCCUACAAAAUACCAUCUUAUUUGUUUUCAUGUUCAGAAUUGACUCAUUUGAUUCUAAGUUGUUGUAUGCUCACACCACCCCGGAAAUUUGAAGACUUCCGUAAUCUGAUUACUGUUUUGCUUUUGGGUGUCAUAAUUACAAUUGACAUAUCAUUUGGGGCUCAACUUACUGACCUACAUUUGCAACGUUGCAUUGGGUUUGAACAUUUGGGUUGUCAAUAUAAAUAUUAUAUCAAUCUCACUUUUCUGAGUAUCACCCAUUGUGGGGAAAUUGAUUGGCUAUGGUUUAGAUGCACCCGAAAGGUGAUUGAUUUNGACUUGCGGUCCUCUCUGUAAGUGAUAAUCACAUUCCACCCACUCUGGCUUAGAUUCUGCCUUGUUUUUCUUUCACUUAUUCUCCAGCUAUAUUUGUUCCUACUUUCUCUUUAUUAAUCACGUCAUAACAAUGUCCUCAUAUUAUCUGUAAUAGCAUUGUAUUGUAUUGAGUCCUGAUCACAUUUGUGUUUUUUAUUAUAUCUAUCAAUAUAUAUAUUCUCUUCUUGUUUGUUCUCCUGGCUGGUAAGACAACUUCUCAAAUCUAUUUUUAAGGUUCACGGAUAUCCUUGCUCUCUUGAUAAUAAGAGGUCGAGGACUCAAGUUGGAGUAGUCAGGUGUGCAUGCCUAUUUAAAUUUCUGAAUUGACCUUACUAGAAAUAAGAAAAUUCGUCAAUAUAAUAUAUUGUUUCAUCAUUCGUGUACCAUACAUAUGUACACAUUAAAUUUUAUUAACAGAUUACGACGAAUGUCUACAAUAUAUCUCUUGGUAACAUAAUUCUGAUUGCAUACUAUAUAUCCUAAAAUAUGGUUAAGCACUACUAAAUGAAUUUUACAUGUUCACGAGUACUAUGCUCUUCUGUUAACCUUGUAUGUAGGAACCUGAUGCGAAGUGGUGGAAUGUUAUGCACUAGGUAGAAAGCUGGGAAUAUGGUGUCAUCGGUGACACAAUAUUUGCAAUCACUACACUUGAUUGGCAUGGCUUUUGACCAACUCGAAACUGUGGAAUUAUAUGGAGUGAAUCUUUCUUCUGAGCUUCAUUUCAUAAAGCUUUUGCUUGCAUCUUCUCCUUCGCUUAAAUUGAUGAGAAUUUAUAACAUGAUUCAUGACCGUGAAAAAAGCGUCGAGGGUGUCGCAAGAGUUGAUGAGGUUCCCCCGAGCAUCCACAACUGCAGAGAUUAUAUGGAAGUAACGAGUAGUAUUGAUAGGUUUGUUUUGGAAGUUAAUGUUGAACCAUAUGGACUCCUUGGGAUUGUUUAUUUUGUGGUUGCAGAAUCAGAGACCCCUUUUUGUGGCUCUUGAACGUGAGAUCUUUUUCUGGGUUUAUUAACUUCAAUUUCAAUGACAGCAAAGUUUUUGGUUUAUUUAUUUAUUUAUCUUUUCUGGGUUUUUCUUAAGUUUUUGGUUUAGAUGGCUUUCAUGUUUAGAGUCCCGUAAACUGUAGGCUACAUGUAGUCAUGGUUGCUUCUCUAUUUGACAAUCAUAUUUUAGGCGCUCUCUUGAGAGUUGUUAUUUGUCAUAUUUUCAUAGUUUAGCCCUGGCCGUCCCUUUCCCAGAAACUAAAAUACCUUGAACUAGAAGUCACUCUUGUUAUCGGUAGUCUGAGUGUUGCUCUGUUUGACCCCCCUGUCCUGAACUUUUUCUGAUCCUGGGUGUUGCUUUGUUCGCCCCCCAUUGUUACAAGCAUCAGGUCCUUAAGUAACAGGAAGUGCUUAUCUAAAAGCUGAACAUUUGUCCUCACUGAUGGAAGUUUCUCUCUUAGUAUGCUGUUUAUUCUGGAACAGUUAUAUAGAAUAGCACAUUUUCUGACAUUACUUUGAAAUUCUCUUAUCCUUUUCUUGGUAUGUGUAAACCCCUAUGGAAGUCUUUAUUAUUUUCACGAAACGGUUGAUUGCAGAAAUUUAAAUACUCUCUUUAAUUUUCAAAUACUGUGUGGCAAUCAAGCAUGUCAAAUACUGUGUGGUAAUUUUCGAUGAGUAUUCUCACGCACCUGUCUUGUCUUUAAUAAGAUUCAAAACCUCGACGUGAGAGAUUUCAUGAUACCAUCUGAUCAAGAGGUCUUAAUUCUUGAUCCAUGUUUUUUUUGUUUGCAAGUUGACUCAUCAUCUAUGUUACCCGGACUCGACUAAAAAUGUCCCAUAUUAAUGUGUUUAGUGUCGGAUUUAGUAAUAUUCUGAAAAUUUUAUACGUUUUUUCUAAAAUAAGUGUUGGAGUGGCCAUAUACAUGUUCGAGUGUUUACUUCUGAUAAAAUGAAGAGUUGGGGUAAUAUAGCUCCUGAUUUGGUUGUGUUGUUAUGGGAUUGAUAUAGGUGGAUGCAUUUACGGAGUCGGCGUUUAAGGGGAACCCUGCUGCUGUGUGUUUCCUAGAAGAGGAGAAAGAUGAGACAUGGUUACAAGCUGUUGCAACUGAGUUCAAUAUUUCUCAGACAUGUUUCUUGACUCGGAUUGCGGCUGACUCCGUUUCUACCAACCCUCUGUUUGGCCUCAGGUGGUUCACUCCUGUUGCUGAGGUCCUCUCUUUUUCUCUCCUUUUUUUGGGGAUAUUUUAUUAUUUGAUUUAAGGACUAUUGAGUAUUUAUGUUUUUUUCAGUUUUUUUUGUACUAAUUAAAUUAUUUUUUUGUACUAAUUAAAACAUACGUAAAUAAAGCAAAAAAGUAACAAAAUGCGGGUGGGUAAAGUAAAUAAACUUCAAAAUUAUAUUUAGGCUUCGUUUGUUUCACCAAAAAUAACUUAAUUUUAGAAAAUAUUUUCUUCGGGAGCUACUUUCCUAAAAGAAUGUUUUUUACAGAACAUAUUUGCCGUCCUAAACAAAUGUUUUAUGCUGAAAUUUUUGAGAAAAUUUUCUCGAGAAUUUUUCAUAAAUUUUUCUCGAGAAAUUUUAGGGAAAAUUUCCAACAAUUAUCCAUGAGAAAUAUUUUUCUAGAUAAUAUUUUCCCCUGUUCAAAUGUCGGAAAAACGUUUUUCUGGCAAACAAGCGAAGUCUAGCUUUUUUUAAAUGCAAGAAAAUAGUGUUUUAGCCUGAAAAUAUAUUUUCCCAUUCCGCUGUGCAAAUAUGUUUUGUUGGAAGAAAUUAUGAACUGCAUUUUGUUUGUUAAUAUGCAAUUAGCAGAAGUAACUAGUCAUAUACACUAAAAAAAAUUGUGAAUGACAUUAGAAUUAGUAAUUUCACUUAUGAUAGAAUAUAACAACUCUUACUUUGUUUACAAUUACAUUCGAUUUAUGUUAUCUCUAUAUAUCUUUUGCUGUCCUUAAUGUUUGUAGUGUAAUGGAUUGUUAAUAAUAUAAUCCUGAAAUUUCUGGAUUCAGGUCAGCAACCGACGAACUCGCAGGUGGAUAAAUGAUCGUCUGUUGAUGGAGCUUGUUCCUCGUUUGAAUGCAGAGGAAAUUAGAGGCUUGUUUGCGCCACCACCUUGGGGUAAGAGAAACCAUAUAGACUUUUUAUUGUGUUUAUGUUUUGAAGCUCAAUGCAUUUUUGAAAUUUGCUUAUUGCAUUUUAAAGACUAAAAACUUUGGUUUCAAACAGACUUGGCACGAAUCUUUUCUUAUGUUUCACUAUUGUUAUUUAUGUUUGAAGGUGAAACUGAAAGAAAUGAGAAGAGUGUCAUAGUCCCUCCUUUAAUGUAGUCUCAAACAUAAUUUUGAUGGGAGGUCAAUUUUACAGGUGAUGAGGUACCAGUUUCAGCAUUCUGCAUGACAAAUGGAGGGGAGUGGGACAAGUUCAGAAGUAUUGACAUGGACAAAGAGGUUUUUUACUUCUCUUACUUACUAUGUACUCUUAUUAUUUUAGUUUGUGCAUAAUUAUAUACAUGUAUAUAGAAUAUUUUCUAUAAAGGCUUUGCUGCAGUGCGGAUGCCAUUCAAAUGUUUGAUAUAGCAUAGGUNCAGUUUUUCUUAGGGUAAUUUAGUAAUAGCCACCGAGGGGUGAAGAGGGGGGCGGGGGUUAAAAAUCAUGGACAAAGAGGUUUAGGGUUUUUAUCGAUAAAAUGUGUUUCCUGCUUUCUAUUUUUCUAUUGAUUGGUUUGUGAUGUCUCUUUGCAAUUGUUGUGCUGAAGUGUUUUCCUUAAAGAGUAGUGGGAUGAAAAAAAGGUAAUUAAAGGUAAUAAAGCAUAACCAGUGGGAAUUUAUUGUAACAAUUUGGUCCCACAUUUAAUAGUAUGACUGUAUGUUUUGAUAAUACCUGGUUCCACAAAUCUAUAUCAUUGUUCUGGUCCAUAUACCAAGGAUGUAUACUGUUAUGUUAAUUCUGGGGUUCUCAAAAACUGGAGAUCGGAAAGAUUUUUUCAAGUUCUUUCAUUUCCCUUUUUCCCUCUGAUUAUGUACCGUAUCUGCGAAUAGUUUUUAUUGCUUCAGGACAUGUCAUCUGAACAUCUGAUGUAUAAAGGCGUGUGACAUCUUUUCAUCUGUUUAAUUUCUUGUUGACAGAUCAAAGUAAUCGAAACCCUUGGAGGCUCUUCUUCAAAAAAGAAAGGUCGUGUGGAUGUUGAUAAGAUGGCUGAUUUGGCUGCAUGGCACAGAGUAAACUGUCGCACUAGAGAAGCACUCCGACAUAGCUUCCUUGCCGAGCUAAUUGAGAGCUAUGAGGUAGUACUUUAUGUGAAAUGAGUUUAAUGAAAGAUGAUAAAUUCACUAUCAUGUGAACUUUUUCCUUUAUAUAUUAACUAGGAACCUUCUUCCUGUAUAUUUAUAUGUAUUUACAGAAGUCUUUUUUUUUUUUUUAUCUUCCUGUAUAUUUAUAUGUAUUUACAGAAGUCUUUUUUUUUUUUUUAUUUGACAGUAUUUACAGAAGUCUUAUUUUGAUUAACAAGAAGGGUAGACUAUAAUCUUUAUCUCUGAAGUAAUAAUUGCUUGUUCCUUUUUAUUGCAUUUUCUUAUCAUAUCUUACCUGUCUGUCACAAGGCAUGUGAUUGUCUAACUAAAACUUAUUGGAAAAACUUUUACUUAGUAUUGUUAUGUUUCAUAAUCAAGUCAACUUUCUAGUAUUAUGAAGAAACUUGUCCACUUGUUAUUUAUUAUAUUGUUCAUCUGAUAAUUUUUUUACAAAUUUAUGAUAUUUUGUUGCCUUUCCUAGUGUACCUUACGCAUCACCUCUUUGCAGGCAUGUCUGAGGGUUUUCAUUGAGGGUCUUGACGGAGAUGUUCUUGUGCUACAUGUUAAAGACCCUUUCCAUAGGAUGCUACUUCACGGUGUUUGUGAGGUAUAGCUCCUUGGAAUCUUGUAAAGUUGAGCUUCAACUAGAAUUUUGCUCAUCUAUAUAAAUUUGUUGACAUUUUACCUUCUCAUGGCACUGGUGGAUUCUAUUGAGUUUGCAGGACAUGCUAAUACAUGUAGUAGUAGAUACAAUGACCAAUCUUAUUAGUAUUGCUGAUAAUCUUAUCACCUGUAUUUUCCCAGUUCUAAGACUUGGUGUCUGUGACAGACACCGAAUCAGACACAGAGCCGAUGAAGCCCACAAAGAUCAAGAAAAAGAAAGCAGGCUCUGUCCAACCACCGAAAAUCACCCUCUGCAACUUCCUGAAAAUGGCAAAGGAAGGAAACUGGUAACUCCGUUUGCAGGGACUCGCAUACAUUAGUAGAUGGGUAGUAUAGAACCCAGUUAUCAUCAUAUCAAAUCGUCUUGUUUGUGAAAACAAAUCGUAAUGACUUAAUUAUCGUUUUAGGCCUUAGUGUGAUCUGUAACAUUAAUAGGUUGUUAAAAUUGCUGGCAAUCCUCUAGUAGUUGUUUCUACAUCUUUCCAAGAGCAGAUUAAAAAUGUCAGUGACAAAAUCAAUUCUCUGAUAAUGUUGUGCUUGAUAAAAUUUCCGUGUAAAAAUAAUUUAUAAAAGAAGCAUCAUAAAAGUGUAAAAUAUUAUUUUUGGUCCGAAAUGUUACUAUACAGUGGUAUCAAAUGCCAAAAGAAUAUUGAGUUUCGACACUUUAAGUUACUUAUACUCUAUUCUAUAUAGCAAAAAAUCGGUUCUUUUGACACUUUAAGUUACUUAUACUCGUUUUUAGAUAGCAAAAAAUCGGUGGGCGUUUGGUAACGCUUAAGCACUUCUGACUUCUUUUAGCACUUUUGUAACACUUUAAGUUACUUGUACUUUUGUAACACUUUAAGUUACUUAUUGAGUGAUCCGCAUUUUAUUAUGAAGUGUUUACAUUUUUAGAGUCAAGUUCUAUGGAGUACAAACAAUAUUGGAGUAUUGGAGUACAAGAUUCAUACAAUAUAAUCUAGUCAUCCAAAAUCUUCAUUUUUUGUGUUCUACAAUACUUGUAAACAUUCGACAACCUGCAGAUUAUGUUCUACAACAUAAACAUUGUAAUCAAAAGAUAGAACAGUUACUUUUAUAAAUCGUACGACAUUAUGUUCUGCAAUAUAACUUAUAAGCAGAACAACAAUCUUAAUGCUUGUUAAAGUUGAAAGAUAUUAAUGAUUAAUUGACAAUUAUGUUUAAUACUACAUAUAAAUGAUAAAUUAUAUAUAAAUCUGGAUAAUAAGAGUAAUUAUUUAUGAUUAAACUAAAAAAUUAUGAUUUGUACUCCAAUUUUCCAAUGUUUUUAAGUACUCCAUAUAACUUAACUCAACAUUUUUAAUAUAUAAUAAACUUUAUUUAUUAAUAAAACAUUUUUUAUUUUAAUAAUUUGAAUUUUUUUAAUUUAUAAAUUUAAAAUUAUCAAACACUCAAUUGACUUAUAAGUAAAAGUUAUCCACACAUUUUAAGAACUUUUAAGUAAGGUCAUUUAUCAUUUAUAAUCCACUUCUUUACUUUUAGCAAUUAGAAAUAAGUUAUUUUUUCUAAGUUAAGUCAAACGACCCCUUAGUCUCAAAAGCAUUCCAUAUACCAAAAUUUUUAUAAUUAGUAAAAGAAUAUCCAAAAUAUCAUUUAUUGUUUAAGACCUCGUAUUUGUGAAAGACUGUCCAAAAUAUUAUUAUUUAUUAAAGUCGGAUAAUCAAGCGUUUUGAAUUUUAGGAAGCGUAUUCAACCGAGAUUUUAUCAUAUUGUUUUUUAUUUGUGAAUUUAAAUGAAUUAUAUAUAUAUAUAUAUAUAAUUUUUAGGGAAAUCUACAAAACUACCUACCUUUUCUUUUAUUGUUUUCAAAAAUACUACCUUCCAGAAUUUUUUUUAAAAAUACCUUUUCAUAAAAUCUUUUUUUCAAAAAUACUGUUUGCAACUUUUGCAACCUCAUCUGCAACUCCAGGCGGCGCCAGCCGUGUUGCAACCUCUUUUGCAACUUCAUAUGCAACCGAAUUAUAUAUAUAUAUAUAUAUAUAUAUAGACAAAAGUUAUAUGGAGUCUUAUAAAUUUUGGAGUCCUUGGAGUCCCAAUCUGGGCCCUCCAUCUUGUGUAACAUCCAAUGGCUGUUAUGUUUUUUGGAUUAAUCUUUUCUUUUUAGUUUUUUAUUUUUUUAAAAACCAACCGUGCAUUUUUUGAACAGGCGUGCGUAUGUUAUCCGGCAGUUGCAACUGCCUCAGAGUGUUUCCAGGAGAUGUAGAGAGAAGUGUCCUGCACCUACGAAAUAAUUUUUUUUUUCAUUUUUUCAUUUUUUGUUCUUUCAUACGCGGGAGGCAAUAUCUUUAAUAUCGAGAUCAAUCUGUGUAAAGUGUAUAAUAAGAAGGCCCAAUCAAAUAAGUUUUGUAGUUUUUUUAAUGCAUCUUGUGUUCAUUUUAGGUCCUGUAUUGCAAGGUCUAUUGUGCAUACGAUUUCUGUGCAGGACAUGUUUAUGGUUAAUGUAUUUGUCUUGCGUAUCAUCAUUACAAAGUAAUGGUUGUCUUUUCAUUCUGCACAUGUUCUUGGUUACCAGAGCUGUCAAAACCCUCUCGAGGAGUCACAAAAUCAUCAUCCUCUUCGUCAGGAACGCUCGCACGCAUCUUAUCUACAUCCAUCCUUUCAUUACAUAUGUCCAAUCUAGGCACUGGUGUCGACACCUCUCCUUGAGAUUUGUCAAACACGCUUCCACUUACGUUUUUUCUCAGCAAAGUACCGUCUGACACAAUUCUUGCAGGCAUGCAAUUAUAGCCGUCAUCAUCAAUGGUUAUGUAUCCUGGUUUCUUCUUAGUCCAAUUGUAUACCCACGGGCUUUCGAUUAGUCUACUGCUUCUCCUUCGACCUAAGCACACGAGGAAUAAUAGCUUAUUAAGCACACGAGGAAUAAUAGAUUAUUAUACAAUUAAGAUACUAGAAUAUUACACACGAUGCAAAACAACUAAUUAUACAAUGUUCAGGACACUUAAAAAAAUCCAAACUCCGAUUAAAGAUUCCAAGAUACUGGUCUGUUAGAAACUGGAAGGACACGUUAAAAACAAGAAUCACUGAUAGCCCAAAAACACAACAAAUGCCUAAUCACUUAUUAUGCAACAUCAAGAUGAAAUUAGUAAUUAACAGAGUGCAAAACUAAACCAAAAAAAAUGUAUAUACUACAAUAGCAGUAGCAAUGUUCGUUCACAUAUGACGCAAAUGCAGGAUCAAAAUGAAUACAGAGUGCAGGACUCAUCAACAAAUAUUCUAUAAUAUUACCAAAUUCUUAAUCUAGAAUAUUAAAAGCAUAGGGAAACAUUGGCAAGCGUUAAUUUAGCUACUCUACUUGAUUUUAGUGUUAUUUACUGUUCACCUUGUCUUACUAAAGAAACACUCUGUAAAAGGACAAAAGAAAUCCUUUCAUGGACUUCCAAAAAAAAGAGUUUAAAAUCAAGAAAUGUAGACUCUCUCACAAUGCACUCUAUUAAGGUAUCCUGUAAACAUCUGGUCCAAGAUUUUGGUUCAACUUCAUAUGAGUACAUUAACAUAAAGCACCAAAACACAUAUGCCGUCCCUUGCACACUGCUUUCUGUUCACUACACUUUGCAGGACCUAACAAUUAAUUAUCUUCAAACAAGAAAAUUAAGCAGAUGCAGGACACAUAAAAAGGUCACAAACCACAAACUCCUUCUGAUUAGAACAGGAGAAUCAACGUUCAUGGCUGAAAUACCUUUAAUGUUGUCAUGCUAUAGGUCUUCAAGUCUUAAGGAACUGAUUGAAGCAUCGAAAAGACAACAGUACAUUGUGAUUCUAGGAAGAAGAGGGGGAAACUGGACAGAUAACACCAGGGUGAAAGGGGGAAAUGAUAAGGUGUAAUCUCAUCAUUUAGGAUUUAUCUGUUGUACUCAACAACUUUUCAUUUAAGAACUGGUUAUUUAGCGAUUAAGGAAUGGUCAAAUAUUAUUCUAGUACAUUGCCAAAAAACAGGUUAUAAGAUACUCUUUAAAAACAUCCUGGAUACAAAAUUUCUACGUACCUUUUCAUGUUUCAAAAGACAAAAAAAAUUGCAAAUCAAAUUACAAGGGACAACCUUAUCCAAUCUGUAGUUUUUCAUGUUUUCAGCUGUCUCUCGAUCAUUUACAAACUCUGAUAAGUUACUCCUAUUACUAACAUAGCCCCAACCAAAAAAAUCCAAAGAAAUGCAAGACAACCCAGUCAAUUGGGAACCCAUACAAUCACAUAUUAUGCAACUGCAAGAUAAAAAUAACAACCAAAUGCAGGACACCUAACAACUAAUUAUCUUCAAAUAAGAAAAUUAAAAAGAUGCAGGACACAUAACUACAGGAUCAAUCGCACAACUAAACCACAAAAUGCAUUUACAAUGUCAAGAAUGUACUGCACACCAAAAGCCCCAAAUUCAAUCGAAUCAGUUAUUGCACACAACUGGUGUAAUAUGCCGAGUUUGAACACACACAAAUUACGAUUUCUAAAAAAGCCCCUAAAAAACACGGAGAGCCAACAAUUCAAUGGGGCUACCGGCAAAUGGAGGAGAACCCAUUCAUUCGGGAUGCCGUAUUUCAUAGAAUCAGUGUUUUCAGCGGCAAGAACAACGACAUGCAAAGCAAUUGAAGGACAUAAUGAGAAGAUAGUGGCAUACCUGAACUCAUCUUCGAAAGAAAUUGAAGCGUCCUGCAAAAGCCCUAACUGGUGGUUGUGCUUAGUGUAUACGGUUCUGCAGCUUGGUUAUACACAGCGAAAAUCGGGGAUUAGGUGGUAACGGCCGUGCUAGUGUUAACCACCGGAGGAUGCAGGAUAGAAACUCUGAAGAAACGUGUGCGAAAGUGAAGUUGAAAAAUGGUUUAAAAUUGUCAGCGGUUUAUUUGAUCAUUAAAUCAGAGCCACAGGAUCUUUUUAAAAUCCAACGGUGGAUCUUAGGGACUCCAAAUAAUAUAUAUAUAUAUAUAUAUAUAUAUAUAUAUAUAUAUAUAGCAUACGGUUGUAUUCAGUUGCAUAUGGUUGUAUUCAGUUGAUUAUAUUGUAAUCUAAUGGCCCCGCCAGGGGCACACCAUACAUCUGUUGUUACUUACAGUUUUCAGUUGCAUUUAGUUGCAACUGAGGUUGCAAAUGAAGUUGCAAAAGUUGCAACUGCAGUUGCAACUUCAUUUGCAACCUCAUUUGCAACUUUUGCAACCUCAUUUGCAACUUUUGCAACUUACAGUUUUCAGUUGAACUAGUUGCAAUUGCAGUUGCAACUGUUGCAACUUUCCAUUUUUAUUUGCAACUUUUGCAACCUCAUUUGCAACUUUUGCAACCUCAUUUCCAUUUUUAUUUGCAACUUUUGCAACCUCAUUUGCAACUUUUACGGCUGCGCCGCCCAAGGUUGCAAAUGAGGUUGCAAAGGUUGCAAAUCGUAUUUUUGAAAAAAAAAUUUUAUGAAAAGGUAUUUUUAAAAACAAUGAAAAAGAUGGUAGUAUUUUUAAAAAAAUAAUUUUACAGAUGGGUAUUUUUAAAAAGAUCCCUAAUUUAUAUAUAUAUAUAUAUAUAGACUUUGUGCGGAUUUUUGAUAAAGUAUUAUAGGGUUGAUAUAAAUUUCUUAGAAUUUAAACAUAAUGUUUCAAAAAUCUAAAAAUCUCAUGAAUUUUGGUGGGAUUUCAAAAAACUGAAAAUACACUGAACAGUCUCACAAAAUCCAUCAUUUUACAAAGUCCAAAAAAACCUAUCAUAAUUUGAAUACUAACAUAUUUUAAUUGAUUUUAAACAAUUACAAUUGAGUACUAUCAGAUUUUCAAUAUAGUUUAAGAUCCUCGUUGAAUACGGCCAGAUUUUAUAGCCUAACUUAAAAUCCCAGUUCAUUUUUUAAUAUUAUUUAAUAUGAUAAUUAUAUGAUACUUUUUGUAAUAUUAUUAUUUACAUAUAUAUAUACACAAAAUUAUACAAAUAUACAGAGAAAACACUCAUUUGAUCUAAAAUAAAUAAAAAUAUCUCAACCAUAAGUGUAAUAAGAUAAAAAACAUUAUAUUUAAUUUGAUAAUAUAGGUGUAAUAAAAUAAAAUAUUAUAUACAAUCUCGAGGUUGCGAAAUAGUUAUAACUGACAACGCAUUUAAAAUCCACUUUUUUAUCCUUUAUAAAAACAAAUAUCCCUUCUACAUUUUUCAACUGGGUCAGAGAAAUACUGUAAGAGAGAACUCUACUUUUCUACCUAUAUUUUAAAAUAUUUUAAUGUAUAUUCAUAAAUUUUAAUCUUCAACUUUUUUAGAUAAUAUAUUAAUUUAAUAUUUCAAAAAAAAUAUUGAGAUUUUAACAUAUUUUGCCUACCGGACCAAACAAUACUUUAAAUAUCUCUAAUUUAUUAGAAACUCCUUUAAUAAUUUUUACAAAAUAAUUUAAGAACUUUUUAAUAAAUAAGAUAUAAAUAAUUAAAAAAAUUUAUAUUUUCAUUAUUUAGUAGUAAGUAUUUAUUUAUGAAAAUAAAUUUAGCUGAGGAACAUAUUUUUUUCCUCUUUUCCUUAACCUAAACUCUAAUAAAACUCCUUAAGAUCCUAGCCCAAACCCAUGUAAGUUAUGAAUUAAACAAUUAAACCUUAACCUAAGCUUAUGUAAGCUAUCAAUUAAACAAUUAAAUACCCUCUAAUAAAACUCUUUAUUAUUCUAACCCAAGCCCAUAUAAGUUAUUAAUUAAAAUGCUCUAAUAAAAUUCUUUAAAAUCCUAACCCAAGCCCAUGUAAGCUAUGAAUUAAACUAUUAAACGCGCUCUACCUGCUCGUUAAAAUCAUAGCCCAAGCCCAUGUAAGUUACUAAUAAAACUCUUCGAAACCCUAGCCCAAGCCAAUGUAACUUAUGAAUUAAACAAUUACAUGCCGGUUAAAACCCUAGCCCAAGCCCAUAUAAGUUACUAAUAAAACUCCUCGAAACCCUAGCCCAUGUAACUUAUGAAUUAAACAAUACAUUUCAAUUCAAACUCGUGAUAUUUACGCCGUUUUCUCAAAUUCCUGCGGCGGCUACUAUUCUGUAUAGCAAAACCUUUUUCUUGAUUAAAAUUCAACCCAUGACGAAGAAGCAAGUGAAGUACUGUGUGGUAAUCUCAUUCUGUUAUUUAUAUAUGCAUCAUUUUGUUUUUAACACACACAGAGUGAUGAUUUGCUAAAAAGAUUGAAUUUUUCAGGUGGAUGCAUUCACAGAAUCAGCGUUCAAGGGAAACCCAACUGCAGUUCAAUUGGUGGCCACUGAGUUCAAUCUCUCUGAAAUACAUGUUUCUUGACUAGGAUUGACUUGGAUUCGGCUAAUCCCAGGUUUCACUCCUGUUGCUGAGGUUCACUUGCUUUUGAUUCUACUUAUUUUUUGGGUUUUUAUGGUUCCCCCGGUGUUCAAUUUUGGACAUGUGUAUUGGGUUUGUGUAAAGAUUUGAUCUUUUUGGUGGUAGUGGUCUUGAAUUGAAUUUGUUUAUUGGUCUUGUGUAGUGGGUUUGUGUAAAGAUUUGAUCUUUUUGGUGUAGCAGUCUUGAAUUUGAUUGGGGCAAAACAAAGUUGAUUUGGACAUUCAACGGGACGUAAUAACGAAUAUGUCUGAUAUGCAUAUUAAACCCCUUUGUUGCCAAGGUUCAGUUACUAUUGAGUCUUGUUCAUUGUUUUAGUUUUUCUGAUGCACACACUGGUUUCAUAUUUGAUCCAUUUGGAGCUUGUUCAUUAAUCUCGCUAUUCUACUUUGUGACGUAGUAUUUUGUGAAUUCAGGCAUCAACUAGAGGUGGCAUCAUAAAAUUACAUCUAGAUGAGAGGAAUCAAGGGUAAUGCUCCAAAGGAAAGUUGUUAUUGUGAUGGAAGGUUCUCUCCUAGUUUAAAUAUGGAGGUAUUCCUAGAAACUUGAGAUCAUUAUAUUGUAUCUGUAGCAAUUUACUUAACAAGUUUUUUACCAUUUGCUACAGAUAUUUUUGAUGAACACUACUUUCUUAAAUGUGUUGUUGAUAUGCAUUUCGUGCUAAUGAUUAUUGAUAAGUAGUACUUUUAUAGUUCUCUUCGAUAGAUUGCUUGCAAUUAUCUAGUUGAUUAAUUAAUGCAGCUGUGUUCACUCUUCCGAGUCACUCGAACUAAAAUGAGUUGGUAAAGUGAGUAUUUAUGAGUCAUUUUAUUCAACAUGUUCAAUAUAUCUAUUGUGAAGUAUUAUGCAAAGUAUGGAAAUUCGUAAAUAAUAUUGGCAAAAUUGUGCCAAUAUUAUUUAGAGCACUUAACUUCACUUACGACCGAAAG
rnacentral:lncRNA from 1 species